GUGGGGAAUUUUGGACAAUGGGCGCAAGCCUGAUCCAGCAAUGCCGCGUGUGUGAAGAAGGCCUUCGGGUUGUAAAGCACUUUUGUCCGGAAAGAAAUCUCCUGGGUUAAUACCUCGGGGGGAUGACGGUACCGGAAGAAUAAGCACCGGCUAACUACGUGCCAGCAGCCGCGGUAAUACGUAGGGUGCGAGCGUUAAUCGGAAUUACUGGGCGUAAAGCGUGCGCAGGCGGCUCUGCAAGACAGAUGUGAAAGCCCCGGGCUCAACCUGGGAACUGCAUUUGUGACUGCAAGGCUAGAGUGCGUCAGAGGGAGGUGGAAUUCCGCGUGUAGCAGUGAAAUGCGUAGAGAUGCGGAGGAACACCAGUGGCGAAGGCGGCUUCCUGGCACAAUACUGACGCUCAUGUGCGAAAGCUAGGGCAGCGAACGGGAUUAGAUACCCCGGUAGUCC
rnacentral:rRNA from 1 species